GUGGGGAAUCUUGCGCAAUGGGCGAAAGCCUGACGCAGCCAUGCCGCGUGAAUGAUGAAGGUCUUAGGAUUGUAAAAUUCUUUCACCGGGGACGAUAAUGACGGUACCCGGAGAAGAAGCUCCGGCUAACUUCGUGCCAGCAGCCGCGGUAAUACGAAGGGGGCUAGCGUUGCUCGGAAUUACUGGGCGUAAAGGGCGCGUAGGCGGACAGCUUAGUCAGAGGUGAAAGCCCAGGGCUCAACCUUGGAAUUGCCUUUGAUACUGGCUGUCUUGAGUUUGGGAGAGGUGAGUGGAACUCCGAGUGUAGAGGUGAAAUUCGUAGAUAUUCGGAAGAACACCAGUGGCGAAGGCGACUCACCGGCCCAAUACUGACGCUGAGGCGCGAAAGCGUGGGGAGCAAACAGGAUUAGAAACCCUGGUAGUCC
rnacentral:rRNA from 1 species